UACGGAGGGUGCGAGCGUUGUCCGGAAUCACUGGGCGUAAAGGGCGCGUAGGCGGCUCGGUAAGUCGGGGGUGAAAUCCUGCGGCUUAACCGCAGGGCUGCCUUCUAAACUGUCGAGCUCGAGCACGGUAGAGGCAGAUGGAAUUCCCGGUGUAGCGGUGGAAUGCGUAGAGAUCGGGAAGAACACCGGUGGCGAAGGCGGGUCUCUGGGCCGAUAUUGACGCUGAGGAGCGAAAGCGUGGGGAGCGAACAGG
rnacentral:rRNA from 1 species